rnacentral:rRNA from 1 species
GAUGAACGCUGGCGGCGUGCCUAAUACAUGCAAGUCGAGCGAACAGACGAGGAGCUUGCUCCUUUGACGUUAGCGGCGGACGGGUGAGUAACACGUGGGUAACCUACCUAUAAGACUGGGAUAACUUCGGGAAACCGGAGCUAAUACCGGAUAAUAUUUCGAACCGCAUGGUUCGAUAGUGAAAGAUGGCUUUGCUAUCACUUAUAGAUGGACCUGCGCCGUAUUAGCUAGUUGGUAAGGUAACGGCUUACCAAGGCAACGAUACGUAGCCGACCUGAGAGGGUGAUCGGCCACACUGGAACUGAGACACGGUCCAGACUCCUACGGGAGGCAGCAGUAGGGAAUCUUCCGCAAUGGGCGAAAGCCUGACGGAGCAACGCAGCGUGAGUGAUGAAGGUCUUCGGAUCGUAAAACUCUGUUAUUAGGGAAGAACAAACGUGUAAGUAACUGUGCACGUCUUGACGGUACCUAAUCAGAAAGCCACGGCUAACUACGUG